rnacentral:rRNA from 1 species
UACAGAGGGUGCAAGCGUUAAUCGGAAUGACUGGGCGUAAAGGGUGCGUAGGUGGCAUAUUAAGUUAGUUGUGAAAUCCCCGGGCUUAACCUGGGAACUGCAAUUGAUACUGGUAAGCUAGAGUUUAGGAGAGGAUAGUGGAAUUUCCGGUGUAGCGGUGAAAUGCGUAGAUAUCGGAAGGAACACCAGUGGCGAAGGCGACUAUCUGGCCUAGAACUGACACUGAGGCACGAAAGCGUGGGUAGCGAACAGG